rnacentral:rRNA from 1 species
UGGGGAAUAUUGCACAAUGGGCGCAAGCCUGAUGCAGCCAUGCCGCGUGUGUGAAGAAGGCCUUCGGGUUGUAAAGCACUUUCAGCGAGGAGGAAGGGUAGUGUGUUAAUAGCACAUUGCAUUGACGUUACUCGCAGAAGAAGCACCGGCUAACUCCGUGCCAGCAGCCGCGGUAAUACGGAGGGUGCAAGCGUUAAUCGGAAUUACUGGGCGUAAAGCGCACGCAGGCGGUUUGUUAAGUCAGAUGUGAAAUCCCCGCGCUUAACGUGGGAACUGCAUUUGAAACUGGCAAGCUAGAGUCUUGUAGAGGGGGGUAGAAUUCCAGGUGUAGCGGUGAAAUGCGUAGAGAUCUGGAGGAAUACCGGUGGCGAAGGCGGCCCCCCUGGACAAAGACUGACGCUCAGGUGCGAAAG